rnacentral:rRNA from 1 species
GACGAACGCUGGCGGCGUGCCUAACACAUGCAAGUCGAGCGGAGGUGCCUGAAGAGCAAUCGGAGGGUGUCUGAGCGGCGGACGGGUGAGUAACGCGUGAGCGAUCUGCCUUUCACAGGGGGAUAACGCAGCGAAAGCUGCACUAAUACCGCAUGAGACCACGGUACUGAUGGUACAGGGGUCAACGGAGAGAUCCGGUGAGAGAUGAGCUCGCGUCCGAUUAGGUAGUUGGUGAGGUAACGGCCCACCAAGCCAAUGAUCGGUAGCCGGCCUGAGAGGGUGAACGGCCACAUUGGAACUGAAAGACGGUCCAAACUCCUACGGGAGGCAGCAGUGGGGAAUAUUGGGCAAUGGGGGAAACCCUGACCCAGCAACGCCGCGUGAGGGAAGAAGGUUUUCGGAUUGUAAACCUCUGUUCUUGGAGAAGAGGAGAAGACGGUAUCCAAGGAGGAAGCCCCGGCUAACUACGUGCCAGCAGCCGCGGUAAUAC